rnacentral:misc_RNA from 1 species
UAAAUGCAGAGUCAUCCCGCCCGACGAUUCUUUCAAGAUUACCCCUUAAAAUUUCAUUAUUUACGGAUUCAUUUUCAUUUUCUGGAGGAUUCUUACUAUCUUCUGAGUCAUCCGGAUCAUUUGCAUCACCGGUUGCAGCGGAAAAAACUGCCCAGCAUUUUCUAGUAUUUAGGUGGCGGCAGCUAUUGAACUUCUGAAUUUUUG